CCCUUAGAUGUUCUGGGCCGCACGCGCGCUACACUGACGAUGGCAACGAGUUUUUCCUUCGCCGAAAGGUGUGGGUAAUCUUUUGAAACAUCGUCGUGCUGGGGAUAGAUCAUUGCAAUUUUUGAUCUUGAACGAGGAAUUCCUAGUAAGCGCGAGUCAUCAGCUCGCGUUGAUUACGUCCCUGCCCUUUGUACACACCGCCCGUCGCUACUACCGAUUGAAUGGUUUAGUGAGGACUCCUGAUUGGCGCCGCCGCCCCGGCAACGGGGCAGCGGACUGCCGAAAAGUUGUUCAAACUUGAUCAUUUAGAGGAAGUAAAAGUCGUAACA
rnacentral:rRNA from 1 species